CAGGCAGUCCCCCCAGACCGGGAGUAACACCGAUCGCCGGUGGGGGAAUGGCGGCGAUCGGGUAAAUAAUAUAUUUGCCGGAGAUACCUAGUAUGUAAUGUUUUUGUCAGGUGUACCUAGUACGUCCGCGGUCCUUAAGGAUUUAAAGGCACACUAUAAUCACCAAAACCACUAUUGCUUACUGUAGUGAUACUAGUGUCUCUAGCUUGUCCCUAAUACUAAGCACUGUAAACGCUGCCUUGUUACUCAGACCAUCAAUUGAGGUGCUUCCUAGUCCACUGCUGCACAUGGAGACACUAGCAUUACCCAUUGGGAUGCAUUGAUACAAUACAUCUCUAUAACAAAAUGCUGAUUGGUGUGGUGCUUAAACUGAACCAUAGUCCAGCACUUGCUCAUCAGAACAUAGUUAUGAAAAAAGCGGGUCCAGGCACUACAAUCCUUCAAGACACGUUUAUUGGAACCAAUAGAACAACACAAGCAACAUUUCGACCCAAAAAAAGCUUGACAAAGACCCCCUUUUGGGACCUACUUUUUUCAUAACCACACACAGACCCAGGCACCAUGGCCACUUCGAAGCAGUGAAGGGGUUAUGGUGUUUGGAGUAAAUUCACUCCUCAAGAAAUAGCAAAUUUCUUAAACUCCUUUCAUGCCAGAACUAAAUUACAACCGGAGCCGACAUUGCUCCAAAUUACAGAACAAGAAAUCACAUGGAUCAUUGCAUCCUUACUGGUCCAUAAAUCCUCAGGCCCAGAGUGUCUGUCAAGAACAUGCUAUAAGAAAUGCUCCUCCAAAUUGUCUCUGUAUCUUCUCACCAAGCAAACUCUUUCAAAGAAAUAUAUUUUGUAUACAAAUAUAAAAUAAAGCAAGACAAACAGUAACAAAUACGUAAUAAAUGUUUAUAAAUGUACUAUAAACUUGGUCAGAUUGUAUUGUUGGGCAUGCCUCUCAGCUAAUGGAGUUUCUUCAGACCCUCUUCCUUACCCACCCAUCUCAGGUUCAGACCUGUCCACUAAUGACAGAAAACUUGGCAUCAUUGUGCAAAAGCAACAAGAUCCUCAUUCUCCCUGCAGGGGCCACAGUGACUAGACUCCCUUUCUUUUCCCCCUGUCAAGUGUUGCAAGAUGAAGAGAUCUUCCAACUUCAUGUCUUCAUAUUGUUUCUUAAUUGCCAUGUCUAACUUAUGCUAAAUAUAUGACAAUUGUAUGAGCUCCUUCCAGUUCUUUUAAAAAAUGGUAGAGUUUAUAGAAUAAAAAGAGAAUGCUACGCAACACAAGAAAAUGUAUAGGCCUGUUCCAAAAUAUGCCAAUGUGAAGGAUCUACCGCUUAGCUUACAUGCAGAAUAUGCUUUGAUAGGUUGAACUAAAUUUAUAUAAAUGUCAUUCUUCAUAAACAUGCUAAACAUGCUUUAUCUGGUCAGAUAAUCUCCAAUAUUUUUUAUUGAAGUUACCAUCUGCCCAUGAUUACUAGGGAUGUACAUGGGCCAAAAAUUUGGUUCAGCAUUCCGAAAUUCAGGACUUUGGCAAUUCAGCACUUCGGCAAUUCGGUUCGGCACUUCCGAAAUUCGGGACUUCGGCAAUUCAGCACUUCGGCAAUUCGGCACUUCAGAAAUUCGGGACUUCGGAAAUUCGCCAAUUCAGCACUGUGGCCAUUUAGAAGCAUGCGAAUGUCAAAACUUCUGCUAUUCGGGCGAAUUUAAAUUCGGACCGAAACAAAUUGCACAUUUCUAAUGAUUACAAUGCAGGUUUCUUUUCUGAUAGUGUUCCUCUGGCUGCUCUACUUUUUGUAUUAUCCCUUGAACCCUUAAAAGGGAAACUAAUGACUCGCUGCAAUGUUACUGUAUUCAGAUAGGGGAAACCUCAUUUUUAUUUAAGGGACCCUCUAGGCACUGUGACCUCUUCAUCUUUUUGAAGUGUUCAUGAUGCCUGAAGUCCCCCAACACAGUCCUAUGGUUCAAUGUUAAAGGGGAACUGUCACUUUUUGUAAUUUAUACCAUUGAAUAAAACAUUGAAGGUCACCUAUAAUUCAUGUUAACCUUCUUUUCAUAAGAGAGUCUGUUUUCUUCUAAAUUUACUUGAAAGAUUUAGCAUAUUGUUUUGCAAUCCAGUUCAGACAAGGCAAAGCCAGGGAAAAUAAAGAGGAGAAAUAGAACUAUUGUUUCAAUUUCCCUGUUUACUGUAUGCUUUCUCUUUGCUGACUGCAAGGUGGAAAGGACAGAGCUUAGAGCAAUGAUUGACAGGGAGUCAAGGUGGAGUUUCCCAGAUGCAAGAUAUAGACAUGUAUGAUUUCUUCCAAACACAUAUUGUUGAAUAUAGGGAUAUAUAAAAACAAUAUAAAAAAUGCAAGGAAGGGACAGUUUCCCUGUACACUGUUUGAAGGUCCCUGGCUGCCACAUUUCUGCCACCUCUCUGCUUCUUGAGUCAAAGCUUCCUUAGUAGCCAUACAUCACUGGUAUGAGUUGAUAUGGCUAAGGCAUAGAGUGUGACUGUGGAUUAAUCAUACCUCUAGUUUGAGCCAGGCUAUGGGCAGCUGGGACUCUCAUUCAGUGUUUAAGUAUUUGAAAAAUGUCUGUAUGUGUGAGUCUGUGUGUAUGUAUCUACUUUAUGUCUGGGUAUCUGCAUGUCUGUACCUGUGUAUGUGUAUAUGUAUGUGUAUCAGUGUUUGCAUCUGUAUGUGUGUCAGUGCGUGAUUUUCUCUCAGUGAAAACUUAGUGUGACCCACGUAAAUUUCUGAUGAAGUGGCCCACUACAGAAAAAAACUUGGACACCUAUGUUAUAAUAUAUUGUUUAUCUAUUACCAAAGCUAUUCUAUAACACACUGUAAUUUACAACUGCUGAGUAUUCUUUUCAUGUAUAGCAGAUAAUCACCUUGGAUGGUGAUCUUGGAUGGAUUCAUGUCUUAGCAGGGAUAAAUCAGGCUUUUGUAAAGGAUAAAGUUCCUUUAUCUUUUUUUGAACACCUUGCCUCGCACAUUAUAUCACAGCAUGAAAAUACUCAAGCGAUGCCUAGGGCAGCACAAAACCAGGAUACACCACUGGAGGGAGCUCUGAUCUUACUGCUCAGCUCCCUCGCACAUCGCUUAAUGAUGCUGGGAGCCGGUCUGACGUCAUAUUCCAGCUCCCGGGUUCACUAAGCUGCAAGCCCGCAAUAGAAGCUGGGGCCCGCCUCGGGUGGGGCCCAAAAGUGGCCGGCCAGCUCUUGGGCCCCCCAGGACACGAGACUAACAAGGCAGUGCUGCCCAAGGCAAAUGCCUUGUUAACCUCACGGUGAAUACACCGCUGGGCACCCUACCAGUGACCUAUGGCCGCGUGCCCACAGAAAGGGCUCGGCAUGCCAGCUGUGGCAUGCGUGGCAAAGGUUCACCAUCACUGGUAUAAGCAAUUACAAAGACAUGUGUCCACAAAAAGGCAUAGUAAUCACCAGAUCACUGUAGGGUAAUGUUUAGACAAGGUCACUGUAAGAUUAGUCAAGCCACUUUUGUACUAAAAUAAAACACAUGGUAUGCCUUGAAUAACAAACUAGGCUAAAAAAUAGUGUUACUGGCAUAUUGAGGUUAAAAAGAAAUAACCAAUUGUAGUCGCUUAACUUCGACCUAAACAGCAAAAGAAAGCAAGGCAUGCAUGUCAUAACUUGAGUCAUUUUGCUAAAUUAUCAUACUGAAAAUGUGUCAUUAUUUUUGGUAACUUUUUUUCUUUGUGAAUGCUUUCAAAGUCAUUACACUCUUUUUUUCUUAAUUCUUAUCUACAGACACACAAAAGAGCAUUAGUGAACAUUUUAGACUACUUGGAGGAUUUCCACGAUUAUGUGAAAAAAUGCUACAACUGUUUAUUUUAUUUGAAACCUCUUUAAUUAUAUGAAAAUCCUAAUUAGACAUAAUGGUAGCUGUAAAUUGAACUAUCUCCACCUAAGCAAAGCAUGUCGGGCAGCUGUGUGUGUUCCAAACAGUUAAACAGUCAAACUGCUGCUUUCAGUAAACUCAGAGAACACAGCAGCUCACACCGCGGGAGCUAGGUAACACUGAAUGCAAAUACUAUUGAAUUCACUUUUGAUGUGGCCGGGAGUUAACAUAAAGGGACACUGUAGUCACCCAGACCACUUCAGCUAAUUGAAGUGGUCUGUGACUGUGCAGUGUCCCUAUUGCACUUAGUGCUGCAAAGUAAAACAUUAGUUCCAGAGAAACUGCAAUGUCUACAUCGCAACACUAAGUCUGGCUCCAGUGACUGUCUCCCAGACAACCACUAGAGGGAUUCCUGGAUCGAAACACACCUUUGGUCCAGUAUCUGUCCGUGAGUUUCUGUAUAUCUACAUUUGUAUCAGUGUGAGUGUAUCACAGUGUGUGUGUAUACAGCUCAGCAUUCAAACACCAACACUACAUACAAACACACUCCUGCAUUGAAAUGUUAAAACUAUAUACAAACACACCAAAAUUACAUAUAAACACACCCCUGCAUUCAAAAACAAACACUAUACAUAAAUGCAUACUUGCAUUCAAACGCCAACACCACACCCCUACAUUCACACAAACAUACUCCAUACAAAAACAUGCUUUACAUUCAUACACAUAAACACUGCUCAGUGCUAAAUACAAACUUGCAAGAAUGGGGGAAUGGUAGAGCCCCAGCUUUCAAAGCAUUGUUGGAGUUGCAUGACAGAUGGGGAUCUACCUUUUGGCCACCCUUGCGAUGGCGUAGUGCAAAAAAAGUCUUGCACCAUGGCCCUCUCUACUUUAGUUCUGCCAUUACGUUGCAGUGAAGGACAUGAUUGCAUGUCAGCGAGUGGGGAGGCAGGGUCCAGGAGGCCCAAGCAAAUGCUUGCCCAGGGUCCAACCAUUAUUAAAGACGGCCCUGCAUGUCAUAGCACCUAUUCUCUAAGGCCACUGUUAACAUAACUUUAAUAACAGGAAUUACCUUAGACUUCCACAAAUCUUCCACUAACUUCCUUCUCUGAGUCCAAUGAAAGAAGUAGAGAACUUCCAUUCUAAUUUGAUGAAUCAUAUUGAUACAUUUCCUAGUGCCAAGUGUCUUGUCUGCCUAACACAAAUCCAACCUGAACAAUUUUUACAAGAUCAGCGAUUAUUUUGGACCAACCUAGUGGCCAAAACUUUGUUGUACAAUUUGGUAUUGUUGUUGAGCAACAAAAUAAAAUUAGUAAAUUUAUUUAGAUCCUUACCUGGCUUGGGAAGAGUCACAAUCUGGGCGCACCAUGCUUCACUGGACAUCCCAUCUUUAUUCCAAUACAAAUUAAAUAGCACAGACAAGUGUGGAGUCAAAAUACUCAAACAAGUCGUAUAGUAGUGCUUGUUAAAACCAUCGGAGCCCAGCACCUUACCAGCAGGAGUAUUUUUAAUUGCCUUCAACACUUCAUCCUGGGUUAUAGCUAAAUCUAAACUUUUAGAUUUAUCUUGAAUAAUUUUUGAUAGUUGCAUUUUAUUUAGAAAAUAUCUAAUUGUGUUUAAAUUAGGUUGAGUGAUGUUUGGGUCCAAAUUCAGAUUGUACUCUGAAAUUAUAUUGCUAAUAUUGGUUGGAUGUACUAUCUUUCUACCGCUCAAUCCUAGACUGUGCCAUCUAAUGUCACAAUUUGGAGGCAAGCCUUGCUGAGGCUUUAUUACCUUUAGAGUAGAAUAUUUGCUUUAAAUGUUUCAACAUCAAGCUUGAACGACCCAAUUGUAUAGUGUUACUUUGCUGCUUGAUGUCCUAUAUUAUAGCCAGUAGUGAGGGGGAUUGGCCAAAGUUAUUUGCCAUAUUUAAGUUGUAUAAUCUCUUUUCAAAGAUUUAACAUUUUUAGAUUUAGUUUUUUUUCAAGUAGGUUGCCCAUUGAAUAAAAUUACCUUUCAUAACAGAUUUGUGAGCGGUCCAAACUGUUGAGCCAGGUCCGGAUCCAAUUUCUCUUUAAAGUAACUAGUGAGGGUAGUUUCAACUAGUAAUUUAUUUUCCAGUUUUAAAACGUAAUUGUCACUUAAUCAACACAGACUGUCUGGAGUCAGUGAGAUGACUCAGAGACAUGUAACAUCACCUGGGCAUGGUCAGACCAAUUAAUGUCCAAUAUUUCAGAUCUUAAUACAUAAUGCAAAGUUGCCUCACCAUCCAAAAAUCUAUCAAUACGUGAGUACAUGUUAUCCUAUACCAAAUGAUAGGAAGAAACAGUCUCUCUCACUACAUCCAAUUCGUGAUCCAUCACGGCAUUUAGGAGGCAUAGGAAAGAGAGGAGGUAAAGCAAAUCGUAUAGUAGUUACAAAUAUAUUGCAACAUACACAUAUAUAUACACACACAUAUGACACAUCUUAGGCAACAAAAACUAGAAAACACAGAGGAAAAAAAAGUGAGGGAACAGUAGUAAACCAUUAUCACAAAAAAAAGUUCAAAUAUGAAUGUUCCCUUAAAAUUCACCCAGCAAUAAUCCUGCAUCUUCAUUAAAAAAAAGAAAAUCUUAGCAAAAAACGCUGAAGUUCAGUAUGACAGGACAUCAUGCCUUAAAAUCCAAUGAAGAAAAAUGAAGAAAAAAGGCAUUAAUCAAUAAUCCCAGUAGGUCUUGAGUCCAUAGUCAGAGUUAGUCCUAAAGCAUGAACAUAGCAGAAACGGAAAAUUAACUAUAUUAAUAAUCUAAUCUAAUAUUUAAAAAUAAUUGAAAAUAAAAUAACUAUUGUAGAACUCUGGGAAAUAAUAUACAUAUAAUAUUUUGGUUGUUAAUUUCCAGGUACGUGUCUUUUUUCUAAUUUUCUUGAAAUCCUCGGUGGUAAGGGUUCUCCAUUGUUUAAAGCUGUUAAAAAAUCUUCUUCUUCUGGCGUGUUUAUGGUGUAGUUCUAGCCUUCAUAUAUGAAUACAAUUUGUAUGGGAAAUCCCCAUCUAUAUUUGAUUUGUUUGUUUUAAAGUCCCUUAAGCAAAAUUUUGAAUUCACGUCUGUGCAUUAGUGUCUCACUUGACUGGUCUUCAAAAAUUUUCAAGUGCUUGAAUUUGUUUGGUAAUUCAAAUCCUAUUCUUAGUUUGAUCAUAACAUUUUUUUUGAUGUGAAUUUUUUUGUCUGGCAAUUGUGUCUCUGGUGCUGAGUUAGGUUUUAAAAUCAUAUGACAUCUGUCAAUGAUUCCUGUUUCACUUAUGUUUAGUACAACCAAAUGUAUGGCACCUUUUACAUAGUCAGAUAGUUCAUUUGGUUUAAUGGAUUUAGGUAUGUUGAGAAUUCGUAUAUUAUUUCUUCUACUCCUAUCUUCUAAAUCUGCAAAUUGUAAAUUUUCUAAUUGGAGUUGUGAUUCUUACAUUCACACACAGGAAAUAGGUGAUGACUGGUCAUUCACAUAACCUCUAAUUUGCGUUCAAUUCGGUCUGUCCAAAUAUACAACGCCGCUAUGUGAUUUUUUUAUUCCGGUUUUACGGGUGCCUAGAUCAUUACAGAUCUUCUAAUGAUUUUGUCGGAGAAGGAUUAGCUGUACUUGUGUCAGUGUGUGCAUAUGUGUAUCUGCAUGUAUGUUAGUGUUUGUAUAUGUGUGUCUGUGUAUAUGUGUGUGCCAGUGUGUGUUUAUGUGUGUUGGUGUAUCUGUAUGUGUGUCACUGUUUUUAUAUAUGUGUCUGUCUGUCUGUCUGUCUGCAUAAGUGUCAGUGUGUGUAUCUGUGUGUCUGUGUAUCUGUAGAUGUGUUAACGUGUCUGUUUAUCUGGAUGUGGUAAGUGUAUGUAUAUGUGUGUGUCGAUGUGUGUCAGUAUGUAUAACUGUGUGUCUGUAUCUGCAUGUAUGUAUGUAUGUAUGUAUAUUAAUAUGUGUGACAGUAUAUAUGUAUAUGUGUAUACAUCUCAGCAUUCAAAUGCCAAAACUACAUACAAAUGCACACCAGCACUUAAACGCCAACACUACAUAUAAACACACUCCUACAUUCACUCACACAUAGUCCAUGCAAAAAUAUGCAUACAAUCAAACAAACUUACACUGCUCAGUGCUAAAUACAAACCUGCAGGGAUGGGCAAAUAUUAGAUCACAAGCUGGCAAAGCAUUAUGUGAGUUGUAUGGGAGAUGGAGAUCUAAUUUUUGUCUGCCCUUGCAAAAGAAGCGCCGAUCUUCCACCAGGGCCCUCUCCACGUUUAUUCUGCCACUGAUCCCAUAAGUUGUCUGUAACAAAGGAGUAUUAACAUAUACAGUAAUGGCAAGUUGUUGCUAGACUUGAUAAAGUAAAGUUUAUUACGAAAUGUGUAGUUUGUGAGUGUCUGGAGAUUGUCUCUGCUUGCAUCAGCACUGUGUAACACAAUGAAGCAUUUAGAUUCCAUUUUAAAAAGGGAGGGGGGGACACAACGUUGCAUAAUUUAACUUUUCCAAGUGGCUAGCGGUCCUUCCUUAUUAAGAACAAAUUGUUAGGUUUCUCAUGUGUUUCAUUUCCUAAAUACUUGUUUGAUUUUUUGCUCUCUCUGAUUUAUUUUAAAGUAGUAACAAAACAAAUCAAUGAAAUAUAUUCACAAUGAUCAUAUUUUUAUCUUACAGGAAUGAGAAAUCUGAUUUUUAGAAUUGAGGUUCUAUGAUGCCUGAUCAAGAUGAAAAAGGGAAAAAAAAUGACAAGACACGUGAUAACAAAAUCCAAGGAACUACAGCAAGGUUUGUUAGUUUCCUGUUAAUUCAUAGAUGUGUGUCUGCAUGGGAUCUUAAAGUGUGGUGUAAUAACUUGGACCGUGUUGCAACUGAGACAAAAAAUGGACCCAGACAUUUAUAUGCAGAGUAACACACUAGGAGAGGGAGGGGCUAGAAAUGUCUGCCCCCUCCUUCUCCCAUUAGAGUGAGCAUGAGAAUUCGGUGUAUUUUCAGGGCAACCCAUGUGCAGAGCCCUACUGAAUUGCUGUUGCAUAGGUAAAAUACCCCUUUUUUGAAAGCACAUUUAAUGAAAUGUAAUGUUUCCUGGUGAUUUUAUUCCUGUAUCCCAAUAGGUAGGACACCAGAGGACAAAAACAGGACACGGCAGUAACAGACUGUCAUACUGUGUUUCUUGGAGACUUGACUCUGUAGUCCCCAUAAGUUGAUGAUGAUGUUGUGCUGCAGCAAUUUGAUAAUGCAGUGGAAUUAAUUUUUUUUUUUUUUUUUACUCUUUAUUUUAUUUGGGCAUAGGUUAAACAAGCAAGUUUGCUUUACCACAACAACUGGAGCAAACAUAGUAGUAUACAUAGUAAAACAUCUUUGUGGUAUUGAGAACACUGCACAUUUUUAUAUAACUAUUCAAGUUGAAACAAGAGAAGAUAUAGUUCAUGUGAAAGAAAACGUUAGCUCAGUGCGUGAGUAAGUUGUAUGUACUAAUUUAGCUUGUGAGUAAUAAACAUAAAAAUUGACUAAAUUAACACAGUGCUAGGCUUGUCAACGAAACACUAGUAACUCGUAGAGCAUGCUUCCCCAAACUCCGGCCCUCCAGAUGUUGCUAAACUACAAAUCCCAUGAUUCUAUGAAUGAAAUAGAUAGGCUGAGAAUCAAGGGACUUGUAGUUCAGCAACAUCUGGAGGGCCGGAGUUUGGAGAAGCCUGUUGUAAAGGCUUAUGCACUGAGAGUGAGUUAAAAGAAGUUAAGUAGCUUUAGUAACAUGCUGAAAUAUAUGUCACCCAGCGGAUCCCGCACCAAAGUGAUAGCUAUGAAAUACACAUUUCUUAAGGAGUAGGAUGCUAAUGGGAAUGCAUAGUGAGAAUUAUAAAGUAAUACUAAACAAGUUAGCAAUAAACAUAGAAUGUUAAUCAUAGGCUUGGUAGUGAGUGAAAGAGAGUCAGCGUAAGUGGCUCUGCACAGUCCCACUGUGUUUCUGUUGCUGGUGCAUACCACAGCCCCAGCCAAGGCCAGAGCAGCAUCCAGAUGAUGUAGAGGAAGAGUCUGGCUGAGGGCACUGGUCCCAUCCACGGCGCACUGGCCUCCCUGACGACUGCAAGAUGUGGGAUACUAGGUGGGUCAUGCAGUGUAGAACAGAAGUAAUAGGUCGCGCUACAGGAAAAAUAAUUGCAAAUGGAAAAGGAUAAAUAUAAUGUAUUCACAUACACUAACAAACAUAAAUGAAAAGAAGUAUAUAGAUAAUAGUCCAAAUACUUGGUAUACUUCCUAUGAGUUCCAAUGGGUAUAUAAAGACUUGAAUGAAUGGUAGUCUCAAUACUUUAUGUGUUUCUUACGAGUUCCAAUAGGUAUAUGAAGACGUUGAUGAAUGGUGUAUCCAAUAGGAGACUGGAUCCUCUAAUAUUGGGGGAGUCUUGACAGUACACCAAAAGAUACAGAUCGGAAGCGGGAGUCCUGUACAGUUUUUGCACUGUAAAAGUUUUGUUUCCCUUUUUCCUCCCAUUCCGUAUUCCCACCUCCCCACUCCCUUCCAGUUUACUUUAUUACUUUGCCUUGUUUUGUCUUGCGUUAGGGUGUGUGUGUGACCCAAGGUGUGGUUUUGUGAGUUACGUAGGGUAGUGAGGUAUAACUGUGUGACUCGCAGGUCUCUGCGUUCCAAAUGUGUAUGCGGAUCUACAGCGUGCUGUGUGUGUAGGUUGAGAGGGGGUCUAGAUGCUAGACGAUAGGGCGGUUCGUGUGGGACACGUUUUACGUCCAAGUUCGUCGCGGUUUGCUGCUUUUAUUCACCCCGGUAAACAUUGCAAUAGAUAUUUCUGGGGUAGAGAUGGGAUCGUCUCUGUUCUUCUAUUUCUAUGUUUAUCACCGAGUCAAGACUCCCCCAAUAUUAGAGGAUCCAGUCUCCUAUUGGAUACACCAUUCAUCAAAGUCUUCAUAUACCUAUUGGAACUCGUAAGAAACACAUAAAGUAUUGAGACUACCAUUCAUUCAAGUCUUUAUAUACCCAUUGGAACUCAUAGGAAGUAUACCAAGUAUUUGGACUAUUAUCUAUAUACUUCUUUUCAUUUAUGUUUGUUAGUGUAUGUGAGUACAUUAUAUUUAUCCUUUUCCAUUUGUAAUUAUUUUUCCUGUAGCGCGACCUAUUACUUCUGUUUUGCCAUUUCUUCCUUGAGGAUUUUAGAGGGAACCUCAUAUUUAUAGGUUGCAGCUUUCCACCUGUCUUUAGCCCCCAUUAGAUCAUGCAGCGCUGAUCCUUUAUCUACUUGGGUCAUGCAGUGUGGCAGCAAUACUUGGAUGUCUCUGACAACGCAUCCCUAUUUGGGCUAGCUCCCGGACCGGAGCCGUGUGUUGGAACCCUGCUGGUAGGUUGUGCGAUGGGUGGUCAAUCCGCUCCCAACUCACAAUUAGGCCGAGGUGCUGUAUCAAAUAGUUCCAAGAGCCCACAGAGACCUAGGCAGGCAAGGGGAAAUCAGCAUGCUCCUUGUUGUUGUUCUGACAUGCAGCAUCCGCCAUUUUGGUGAGGCUUCUCUGCCACUCGAGUUGCUUUCAGCAGCUCUGGGUUGUUAGUAGCACUGGGGCCCCCCAAGGUGAGGACCGGGAUCACCUCCGCCGCUCCUAACAGGGUGCGGGGGGCCAGCAUGGUGUGGGACCGAGGAGCUGAUCUGCUGCAAUUGGGGAGGAUAGCAAGGCGGCGGCCGUCCACCCCACUCACUGCCAGAAUAGGCCUCAGCCACGUGGAUCAAGGAUCUCCCUCGCAGAGACCAAAAGGCUAUUUGCAAGCUUAUCCUCUGAACCAGUACUGCUCUGCAACGUGGACCGCAAUUUCCAGGUGUUACAUAGGCAAGUUAAUCACUGUGGUGAGCUUAAUAAUUAAAAGACUGCAGGAGCUGCUUGUUCUUGCAUCCUCACAGCAUGGUGGUCCGGCCAGGUUACCCCCCGCCUCUUCUGCCCACCCCCUGGAAUUAAGUUUUUUACUUACCUUUGCUGCUUUUUUUUUUUUUUUUGGCAAAUCUUUUUUAUUGUUUGACAGGACGAAAUUACAUAGUUGCGUUAUUACAAUAUUUUAGACAUUGUACAGUACACCAAAAGAUACAGAUCGGAAGCGGGAGUCCUGUACAGUUUUUGCACUGUAAAAGUUUUGUUUCCCUUUUUCCUCCCAUUCCGUAUUCCCACCUCCCCACUCCCUUCCAGUUUACUUUAUUACUUUGCCUUGUUUUGUCUUGCGUUAGGGUGUGUGUGUGACCCAAGGUGUGGUUUUGUGAGUUACGUAGGGUAGUGAGGUAUAACUGUGAGACUCGCAGGUCUCUGCGUUCCAAAUGUGUAUGCGGAUCUACAGCGUGCUGUGUGUGUAGGUUGAGAGGGGGUCUAGAUGCUAGACGAUAGGGCGGUUCGUGUGGGACACGUUUUACGUCCAAGUUCGUCGCGGUUUGCUGCUUUUAUUCACCCCGGUAAACAUUGCAAUAGAUAUUUCUGGGGUAGAGAUGGGAUCGUCUCUGUUCUUCUAUUUCUAUGUUUAUCACCGAGUCAAGACUCCCCCAAUAUUAGAGGAUCCAGUCUCCUAUUGGAUACACCAUUCAUCAAAGUCUUCAUAUACCUAUUGGAACUCGUAAGAAACACAUAAAGUAUUGAGACUACCAUUCAUUCAAGUCUUUAUAUACCCAUUGGAACUCAUAGGAAGUAUACCAAGUAUUUGGACUAUUAUCUAUAUACUUCUUUUCAUUUAUGUUUGUUAGUGUAUGUGAGUACAUUAUAUUUAUCCUUUUCCAUUUGUAAUUAUUUUUCCUGUAGCGCGACCUAUUACUUCUGUUUUGCCAUUUCUUCCUUGAGGAUUUUAGAGGGAACCUCAUAUUUAUAGGUUGCAGCUUUCCACCUGUCUUUAGCCCCCAUUAGAUCAUGCAGCGCUGAUCCUUUAUCUACUUGGGUCAUGCAGUGUGGCAGCAAUACUUGGAUGUCUCUGACAACGCAUCCCUAUUUGGGCUAGCUCCCGGACCGGAGCCGUGUGUUGGAACCCUGCUGGUAGGUUGUGCGAUGGGUGGUCAAUCCGCUCCCAACUCACAAUUAGGCCGAGGUGCUGUAUCAAAUAGUUCCAAGAGCCCACAGAGACCUAGGCAGGCAAGGGGAAAUCAGCAUGCUCCUUGUUGUUGUUCUGACAUGCAGCAUCCGCCAUUUUUGUGAGGCUUCUCUGCCACUCGAGUUGCUUUCAGCAGCUCUGGGUUGUUAGUAGCACUGGGGCCCCCCAAGGUGAGGACCGGGAUCACCUCCGCUGCUCCUAACAGGGUGCGGGGGGCCAGCAUGGUGUGGGACCGAGGAGCUGAUCUGCUGCAAUUGGGGAGGAUAGCAAGGCGGCGGCCGUCCACCCCACUCACUGCCAGAAUAGGCCUCAGCCACGUGGAUCAAGGAUCUCCCUCGCAGAGACCAAAAGGCUAUUUGCAAGCUUAUCCUCUGAACCAGUACUGCUCUGCAACGUGGACCGCAAUUUCCAGGUGUUACAUAGGCAAGUUAAUCACUGUGGUGAGCUUAAUAAUUAAAAGACUGCAGGAGCUGCUUGUUCUUGCAUCCUCACAGCAUGGUGGUCCGGCCAGGUUACCCCCCCGCCUCUUCUGCCCACCCCCUGGAAUUAAGUUUUUUACUUACCUUUGCUGCUUUUUUUUUUUUUUUUGGCAAAUCUUUUUUAUUGUUUGACAGGACGAAAUUACAUAGUUGCGUUAUUACAAUAUUUUAGACAUUGUACAGUACACCAAAAGAUACAGAUCGGAAGCGGGAGUCCUGUACAGUUUUUGCACUGUAAAAGUUUUGUUUCCCUUUUUCCUCCCAUUCCGUAUUCCCACCUCCCCACUCCCUUCCAGUUUACUUUAUUACUUUGCCUUGUUUUGUCUUGCGUUAGGGUGUGUGUGUGACCCAAGGUGUGGUUUUGUGAGUUACGUAGGGUAGUGAGGUAUAACUGUGAGACUCGCAGGUCUCUGCGUUCCAAAUGUGUAUGCGGAUCUACAGCGUGCUGUGUGUGUAGGUUGAGAGGGGGUCUAGAUGCUAGACGAUAGGGCGGUUCAUGUGGGACAAGUUUUACGUCCAAGUUCGUCGCGGUUUGCUGCUUUUAUUCACCCCGGUAAACAUUGCAAUAGAUAUUUCUGGGGUAGAGAUGGGAGGAACUUUCACUUCUAGAUGAUAGUUCAUUUUUAACUUGGUUAUUCACUAAAGUGAAAAUUCAAAGUGAAUUGCACAUUUUAGGUCGAACUAGAAAAAUUCAGCUAUGCUUCCAGUUUAGUUGCUUUGGCCUUAAAUUUGAAAUUCACUUUGAAUUUUCACUUUAGUAAAUAACCCUGUUAGUGUCUCCAGAGGUACUUCUGGAGGUGAUUAUGGGAAAAUAUGUUUCUGUAAAACAUAUUUUAGUCUUAAAUUAUGACUGCCAUUAUCGUCUCCUGAAAUAUUUGACUUUUAUAUAAGAUUCGUAUGUUACGUAGUUUAAAUGACUGUAGCACAGACAAACGCUUGAGAGCUAACAAUGACAAAAACCUGGCAAAUGGAAAAAAGUUAUUUUUUAAUCAGAUAAUCUAAUUUUCAUAUUUCUAAGAAAUAAUUUAAUUGGAUUGGAAAAAAGUAGACUAAUAAAUUAUUGUGUACCAAUAUGUUAACCUGUUUAAAUCUCGGCAAUUUAAAUUAACUAAAUAGUGCAUAUGUUUGCAUUUUAGGAAAAACUUUGAUGUUAAAAAACUUUGGUCUCUUUUACAUGUCCAGGGAAACAAACAUGAGGUAAGAUUUAGUGUGGUACUGAUUCAUUUGAUUUUUUUUUUUUCAAAACUAAUAUUGCAUACAAAUUUAGAGCCUAAAAUUUUUCGUUCAAUAUUUGUAACAAAAUUACAUGGUUUUAUAUGUAUUUACUUUUAAUCCCUUCAUUAUAAAUAUUAGAAAUCCUUUCUAUAUAUUCCAACUAAGUCUUUAAACAAGGUUAACAUUCUUUUCAUAUCCAAAACAAAUACAAAAUACACUCAAUUCAUUUUUUGUUUAGAGGAUGCAUUCCUGGCUGGUAUUUGUACAAGGUUGCCAAGACAGCAGCCUGUGGGACUUCACGAAGAUGUAUAUGUGUUCUUUGUAAUUCACAAUGAGAUUCUUACUCAUUAAGACCAGGUGAUUCAAGUGAAAUGCCUACCAUAUUGAUGGUGUUUAUAAUUUGUGCAAUUAGGACUGGGGGUAUCUGUAACGGAGAGAGAAUUUGUAGUAAAGAAAAGUACAUAGUGGAUUAGGAGAAUUGAGCUGUAAUCGAGUGGGAAGGGUUUGAGGUGGAGAAGGACUCGAUGGUUCUCUCUGUGUAAGCUGUUCCCUUUUUGAAGAAAAAAAAGUCUUCUUACAUAAUAACAUUUAGUCUAGAACCAUCCCUGGGUGUAAUACUUUACCUGCAGUCAUGAUAGUUUUCUAAGUUCCACCUGAUGUUUGUAGCGACUGUAAAUUGCAAUGUGUGGUUUCAGAGCCUUUAUUGGAAUAUGAGUGUUAAGAAAAUUAUCUCUGAAAUAUUGAAUGAGAUAUUCAACCACUAAUAAAGUAGUCAUAGUUCUACAAUAGCCAGUGGUCUACCUAUUGUCUAACCUUGAAAUGUCACUUGUGCAUUAAUUACGUAUUUUUCUGGAAUCUACUGUCAACUGCUGGUGAUUCAUUUGUCAGGAGUCUAUGUUGCUGCUGUACGUUUCAGGGCAAGAGUACAAAACAGAGGUCUGUGGAAGAUUCCACAUGAGGUACCAUCCAUAAGACAAAGAACUAACAAUGUUUAUAGUAGGCAUGUGCAUGGGGAAAAUAUUCGGCUCAGUUCGGCAUUCCGAAAUUCGGGACCUCGUCAAUUCGGCACUUUGGCAAUUCGGCACUUCGACACUUCGGAACUUCGGCACUUGAACACUUCGGCACUUCAGAACUUCGGCACUUCAGAACUUCGCCACUUCGGAACUUUGCCACUUCGGAACUUCGACAUCUUCUGCACUUCGGAUCUUAGACACUUCGGAACUUUGGCACUUUGCAACUUCGGAACUUCGGCAGCUUCGGAACUUUGGCAACUUCGGAACUCCGGCAUUUCGGGACUUUUCUUGCAGCCGCUUGGUAGAUAACUCCCUAAUUCCCACGGUAUUAGGGAGUUAUCUACCAAAAGGCUGAAAGACCUGAGCGGUGGGUGGGGGCCCUAAACAAGAAUAAGGGGGGGACCUAAUGUCCUCCCCCCGGGCCCCCACCCCUGAGUGGCGGGUGCGGGCCCUAAAUAAAAAUUAGGAGGGACACCUAUUGUCCUCUCCCCUGGCCCCCACUCCUGAGUGGUGGGUGGGGGUCCCAAACAAGAAUAAGGGGGGACCUAAUGUCCUCCCCCCUGGCCCCCACCCCUGAGCGGUGGGUGGGGGCCCCAAACAAGAAUAAGGGGGGGACCUAAUGUCCUCCCCCCCCGGCCCCCACCCCUGAGCGGUGGGUCGGGGCCCUAAAUACAAAUUGGGGGGGGACCUAAUGUCCUCCACCCUGGCCCCCACCCCUGAGUGGUGGGUGGGGGCCCAAAAUGAAAAUUUGACCCCACUCCCCCCCAGGUGACAGGGGUUCCCAAACCCCUAGUCACCCCCUUACCAUAAAAAUAACCCCCUACCUGCCCCCCUCACCCUAAAAAUAAUGAGGGGGGACCUUUAACUAAGUACCUGUAAAAAUAAACAUAAACUUACCAUUUGAUGUUUUCUUUCUUCUAAAAUCUUAUUUUUUCAGCCCCAAAAAAGGCCAAAUAAAAAUCCAUAAUAACCGAAUCAAAAAAAAAAAAAAAAAUAAGCGCAAAAAAAAAAAAUCCAUCUUCACCCAUGGAGGGCUCCGCGCAGACUGAGCUCUGCAGAGCAGGGGAAGGCUUAUAAAGCCUUGCCCCACCCUGCAAUUAGGCUCAGAUCACUCUGAUUGGUGGGUUUAAGCCAUCCAAUCAGAGUGCUCUUACAGGUAAAUGAAGAGACUGACAGGUAAGUCUCUACAUUUACCUGUCACAGCACUCUGAUUGGUUGGUUUGAAAUACACCAAUCAGAGUGUUCUGUGUCAUUUUACACAGCGUGGGAGAGUUCUUUGGAAUUUUCCCACGCUGUGUAAUUUAACUCAUAACUCUCUGAUUGGUGGAUUAAGUAUAGCGAGUAGGGGCAUAGCGGUAUAGCGAGUAGGGGCAUAAUUUACUAAUACUAGGUAAUCUUUACUUAGUAUUAGUAAAUUUGGCUGAAAGACCAAUUUAGGUCUUUCAGCCUUUUAGUAGAUAGCUCCCUAAUACCGUGGGAAUUAGGGAGUUAUCUACUUAUUCAUUCCUGUCAUUACAUGACUGGCUAAGUAACUUACAUUUUAUAUGAAUGUAUGUUACUUGAUUGUUGUAAGUGUUGCAAAUGCUUACAGCUGAAUCCUGUCUAUGUUUGCAUACUUUUUAUUUGAAAUUAUAUACAGUGUAACAUUCUUCUUCUUUCACUGGGUAAGUAUAUUAGUAAUUCUGUGCUUCAGAACUUUAGUACUUUGACACCUCGGAACUUCGGCAACUUCGGAAAUUCGGCACUUCAGCAAUUCGGCACUUCGGAAAUUCGGUAAUUACGGCACUUCGGGACUUCGGCAAUUCAGCACUUCGGCACUUCGGCACUUCAGCAAUUCAGCUAUUCGGACAUUCGGAAGCACCCGAAUGUCCGACUUACCCGAAAUUCGGCCGAAUUUUAUUGCACAUGUCUAGUUUAUAGAGGCACUCACUUGAUUUCUAGGUGCUGGGGGUUGAAGGGCUCUUUCCCACAAGACCCAAUGAAGCAGUAAAAUAUAUAAUGACUUUGCGCUCCAUUUAUUCAGUGUGAUUAUUAUUCAACCAAACAUCCAACUGAAUGGAUCUGGCAAUGUUUCAGAACCUAGUGCACUAAGGUUCCAAAAAAAUUGGUAUGUCCUUACUUUGACUUAUGAUUUUUUUUGAUUAGCUUGAAAUUCCAAUGCAGUCAAUAGCAAUGUUUCAUGAAGAUUCAUGAAGAUUUUUAAGAUAUUAACAUGGUUUGAGCAUGUCUAAUUUUGAAUUGCAUUGUGACUCUAAAGACUUCUAUUUUGCAAAUUUUUGUUAACUCUUUUUAUGAAGAAAAAUACUUAGGAGGGACAACAUUUUAUUAAUUUAAGUCUGGCUACGGGAACUGUGCUAAUAAUUUACGUGUCUCAAGAAAAAAAUUAAUUCUAUUGAUCAUAUUUUGUUUAUUUUUUGAUGGUUUUUAAUUUAGCUUUGUUUUAAUUUAAUUUUAAUUGUUUGAUUUUGGUAAUAAUGCUUAUAUAUAUACUUAAAAUAAACCUUUUUUUAAUGAUCUAUUUCUGAUAUAACGUGGUUAUUCACAAUAACAUUGAAUUGGAAUGAUUCUUUAAAUCAGCUAUAUUACCAUCUCAGCAAUCUGGACUGUUUAAAGCUUAGUAGCUAACCUGAUACAAUUUCAGUUUGCUGAGUGGUAAGAGAUUAAGGGGAGAUAUAGAAUGUACUCUGUGAAGGGAGGAUAUUGUGGGGAAACAUAAGUAAAUGCUAUAGAACAAGAAAUGGAAUGCAACCAUUUAACUUUUUUCACUCUGAAUCAAAAUAAUUAUAAAAAUGUGAUAAUAUACAUAAAAUGUGGAUUUUUAUUUAAAUUCACAGCUUACUAAUACCCAAAAUAAAAAAUACACAAACAUGCCUUUAGCAGUAAUUCUCACAAAAAAUACCUAAAUCUGCCUUUUGGCAUAUUUACUUCACUUAUGAAAAAAAAGCACGAAGUAAUGGAAUUUAUAUGAGAACUGGCAUCUUUCAUUCCCCCUUGGUUUUAGUUGUAUAAUUCUGAGGUAUUUUUCUCCCUUUUCAAAUGUAUUUUGUUAAAAAGUAAAACUUAGCCAAGCCUCCCCUUUUCACAUAGUGUGUUCCCCUCACUGGCCUCUGCCUCUCUGCUAGUACUCAGCUACUGAGAGUAGUAUGAGUUGAGCUUGUAUGAAGAAGACAACCAGGGAGAGACAUGAUGAGAAUUGCUUCCAUAUGUAUGUCUGUCUGUAUGUAUGUCUGUUUUGGCUGUCUGGUAUUUUUUAAUUUGACAAUUUGUAUUUUGCAAUUCUGAAAAGAAAAAUAAAUUGGGGGGGCGGAGCUAAGCAGACAAAUGCCCCACUAGCUCCCGCUGCUUCUUGCUAAUGCCUCAACUUUGGGUAGCUUUACACACUGGGCAGAGACAUACGGGAUGGCCAGAAGCUCCAACACACCAAGGGGAAAGUCUCGGGGGCCCAGUGAAGGGCAAACCAGAGAUAUAGGCCUGCUGCUUACUCAGCCGAGUAGGCCCAAGGUGGCAGAUCACAGGCCAGGCUUGUUUCAGGGCUCGCUUACGGCCUCGGACGAAGAGGACCUUGAUCUCUUGGAAGUUCCAUUCCCACCCCUCAAACGCCGGGGACAGGGCCAGUGACAGCCUGAACCCUCACUGGCCUCAAAGUCAGACCGUGCAACCAUGGUCUAAGACCUAAAGUCCUUCACCUCUGAAAUAGGAGUGCUUUGGGAGGACCUGGACAUGCUGACAGGCCGAAUCAAGACCACAGAAGAAUAUAUCCAUGACCUAAGACUCCAUCAAGACACCUCUACAACACAAAUAAAUAACGACAACUCUACCUGUGAGAACCUCAGUGACAGAAUCGGGCAACUAGCGUUUGACUGUACAACUUAUAGGUACUGGGGACACUAUCAAUCCGGCUGAGCUGCCAUAAUUUAUCCAAAGACUGUUCUCCACAGCUUUAACGUAAAGGGACUUCAACUUGAGGGACUUUUUCGCCUUCCUGGCAAGUCACACUCUAAGUCCCAGACACCAAGAGAUGUCAUCAUGUGCUUUAGGUCUCGCGGUGACAUUUUCUAACCUUUUUCCAAGAUCUAAACCGACCGACCCUAAAGUGGCGUGCGACGCUGAAGGAAGUGACAUCUCGCCUGCAAGCAGCAUCUAUCUCCUACAAAUGGGGAUACCCCAGGGCUCUCGUAGCCGAAAAGGAAGGCCGGAGAUUCAAGUUUCAUCCAGUGCUAUAAUAUAGGUGCUCUGUAGGAGGGUAAUCUAUAGGGAGAGACUGUCUUCUGCAGAGCAGGAAUCCAGUUUAGGACUCUGAAGAGUAAUGCAGGUUAUAACCUUAUAUAUGUUUUUUGCCUCCUUGGGGAAUGCAUCUUAUUUGAGGCAAAACUUUAAACCAUUUAAUUUCAGGCUAUGUGUGCUAAUAUUUAUUGCAAUUGUGUCCUGUUGCAACCAUUGUGUAUUAAAACCUUGCAACAUGGAAAUAUGCACCAGGUGUAUUAUGACGGUCAGUGGAGACAUCUCUGGUAAGAGAAGGAAAUGGGACAUUUAGUUUGACAUUGAUCUAAAGGUUGAUCUUAUGAAGAAGUGGAAUGUAGCCAUUGAUCUUUUGCAGGUAUUCAGUUUGUAAAAGCUGUUUGUGUACAGGGCUAUAGGGCUUUCAUUGCUCCAGAUCUGCAAUAGACUGAUUUUGGUAGUGCUGAAGUAAUGAUUCUCUUGGAGGCUCAUUGUUUCUCUCACCCAGCUUCCAAAUUGGAAACUGAUUAAGAUCUGUAGAGAAAUAACAGACUGAUGAGCUGCUAUUUUAAAGAAAUUCAAGAAAUCAAAAAAGGUAUUUAUAUUUAAAUGUUAACAAAACUGUUUAGACAACUGCAAAGUAGUGAUGAAAGAGUAACAGAUGCACGUAUUCUCUAAAUCUGUCAUAUUUAGCAUAGAGAGUCCUUUUAUCAGGUAUUUGUGAAAUGUUCUCAAUACAUUAUCUAUAACCACACAAAAAACAAGUAAUGCUUAUUGUAUUACCAUUAUUAAUCAUGUAUUAAUCAUUAAAAUUAAUUAUGUAUUACUUAUGUAUGAAUAAUGCUUAUUUUUACGUGUUUUAAAUAUAAAACACUGUAACUAUUUCAUUGUUUAUGCUCCUUAUAAUAUGCCUAAAACAUUAGAGAAAUCUCAAAACAAAACCGCGAUUGCCUCUCUCCCUACUCCAACUCGCUCAGGCGGCAGGUGGUUUAGGCCUCCCGAAAUUGGUUACCUACUGAGGCCGCCAUUCUUGAAUACGCUAUACGGCUCCAUGCUCCCAGACAUCCGUUCCAAUGGGUUAACAUUGAACAGGACAAAAUACUUCCACACUCCAUGAUGAACACAAUGUGGUCUCCAAAAUUAUUCCGAACGUAAGGGCUCUUGCUCUACCCCACCACUACACUAACAAUAAAACUUUGGGACAAACUACAUGCCACCAUGUCUGAGAAAGGAAAAUUCUGCACACAUGCUCCCCUGGGGGCAUUGGAAGGAGUGUCACCGUGGCUGUCACUGAAACCUUGGAUUACCUACGGCAUCAACCAUAUUAAAGAUCUCUGCUCUCAAGCGAAGAUCUUAGCCUUCCCUGAUUUACAGAGAAAAUACCGGCUACCUAACUCUCUUAUUUUCCAGUACCUACAAUUGAAAAGCAUACUACACACUAAAGUGACCCUACAGUCCCAAACAACAACGGCACAAGCGAAUUCCGCAUUAUCACUUAUCGAAAGAUGUCAUUCUGCUCCUACUAAACCCUAUCCCUUUGCUAUAAAACUCUCUUGGAUAAUACACUGCCUCGUUCCUUCAAAUACGUGACCCAAUGGGAAAAGGAAGGAAUGCCCAAACUCAUGGAUGAACAGUGGCUCCAGUCACUUAAUGCUCUUAAAGGUCUUACGUCCUGCUUUUCACAUGUGGAAGCUCACAAAAAGGUAGUAUACCAUUGGUAUCUUACCCCACAACGGCUUCAUCAAAUAUACCCUGCUGUAGACCCUAAAUGCUGGAGAUGUAACUCCCAAAAAGGCACCAUGACCCACAUUUGGUGGGAAUGUAGCGAGAUUAAGCCUCUAUGGAUACAAGUACAAAAGAUACUAAAUAAAACAAUAUCUCACUCACUACCUCUCACAUUGUCAGUGGCACUUCUGAUGCUACUCCCAACUACAUGGAAGAGGGAAGCUAAAAAACUGGCCUCGCUUGUCAUACUGGCAGCGAGAAACCUCCUCACUCAACAUUGGAAAAGCACCUACUGCCCCUCAAACAAGGAACUGAUAGAUAAGAUAUACCAAUACUACAGAUAUGAGGUGCUUUCCUCUGACUCAUAUGAGAAAACGAGACAGAUGGAACGUCUGUGGAAAUCAUGGCUUGCCCUAAUGGGCCACCCAAAGCCCUAAGACAUACUGGUGAAUCGAAGACCGUUCCCCUUAUGAGAAAAUAAGAAUGGGUAUGACACCACACUCACCUCGAACUUGAAUAUCAGGGCACCGGCUGAGCACAAAAAUGUUGCUAGCUGAGGAUGACUUAGACAGAAUACCAUACACACAUACUACAUAAAGCGCACCGACCAAACCUCCCCUACCCCCGAUCUCCUUUCCCUGACAACGCACAAAUGGCACAAGAGCUGGUGGCAAAUAUAGUACAGGUCCAAACCUAUUCCAUCAUUCUUACCAUACUCUCCUGAGACACUGGGUUGGAGGCGGAAUUGUCACAUAAUACUCCAACACAAGGGCUAUGUCCCUGGAAACCCGUACACUCUUAGAGAGGUGCGACGCAUCAACCCCACCAAAUAGUCAAUAUGUAUCAAUGCUUGUAAUCUAACGAAGGUUUAACGUAACAUAGAGUCAUACAUAGGACCACUGUUGUCUGACAGUUGGACCUGUUGAGCCCGACAUGUAAGAGCGCAUAACUAAAAGAUGUUGUUAUCUAAUGCUGUGUAAAUGUGUAUCCAACAUUUCAGCUCAUGCCAUGUACUUGGAACUAACAGAUGUAUUGGUCAUGUCUUCCCCUUCCCUUUUUGAAUUCUGUAUCCCAAUUUACUUUUUCUGAAAAUAAAUAAAAACUUUAAAUAUGAAAAAAACAUUAGAGAAAUCUCAACAUAUUCUUCUUGAUUAAACACUUUCUUGAUAAAAAAAAUAUAGCUAGUUACCGGUAUGUGUUCAUUUAUUUAGCUAUCUAUUAUACUAUUUUGUUUGCAACAAAAUUAUUUACUAAUUUGGCUUACAUUUUAAAUUCCAGGUCACAAAUCUCAGAAAUUGGCCAGGCUCAAGAUGCUUCUAUACAUUUUAUCUAUAUAAAAUUUCUUGGCAACAAGCAUCUGCUUGUAUGAGCAGGCAAAAAACACUUCUAUAUGCUUAUGAUUAGACACAAGACAACUCUUUUGGUCAGUCCAUAUGGACUUUGGGAAAGCUUUGUAAUCAUAUACUGUAAUUAUUGCCAUAAUAUUAUAUACAUAUAUUAUUAUUUUAUAAUUAUUGUAUCUUUGUGUUAAAUGAGAAAAUGUGUUUUGGAAUGCGUAUUGUUUUUUAUUGACAGCUUCCAGCCUUAAAAGUCAACAGUUCUCCCAAAACUCAGUCGAAGUUAGGAAAAACGAAUGAACUCAAAAGCCGAAGUCAAUGGCAGGAAUCAACCGAAGCUGUUGAACUUGAAAAAUUCAG